UCUCUCGCGCCGACGUCCAUCUCCCAAAACCCAAACCCUCUCUCUCUCUCUCUCUCUCUCUCUCUCGUACUCAGCCUCUCCCUCUCCCUCGCCCUCUCUCGAUCUCUUGCGCUCCCUCACCCUCUCUCUGUCUCUUGGCCCCAUUCCUCUCUCUCUGUUUCUCAACCUCUCUCUUUCUCUCUCUCGCUAGGGUUUUCAAAACCCCCUUUCGCCCAAACCCACCGUUGAUCUGUGAGAGAGACUUGGAGAGCACUCGAAAGAAGGAGAAGAAGAAGAAGAAGAAAAAGGAGAAGAAGGAGAGGAGAUCCAGACAUCGGCAAUGAAUCGAGCAUACACUGUAAGUGAGUUCAGAAUUGUGGUAGAUACUUUGAAUCAACUGGUACCUGAAAUGCAGAUUGCAACAGAUAUAAUUUGUGGAUUCCCUAGGUGUCCCCACUCCCUUUUGAGGCGAGACUAAUCCCUGCGGAUGCACAUAAUCACCCACAAACCACAUGCACUUUUUGGCAUUCUUCUUACGGGGACUUAUCUGUUGGUCAGAAAUACACAAGUGGACCCCACAUUCCAUCUGUGAUUAGGAUCGUUGUUUAGUGGGCCACCAUAUUCUGAGUUGUAUCUCACAAAUCAAGCAAGUUCUUCUACUUCAACAUCUGUAGUUGUAUCCACUGAAGGUGCAGCAAAAAUUAGUUUUUUUUGGUUCUGUUGCCACUAUAGGUGAAGUUCUUGUUUUUAUUUCUU